UACGGAGGAUGCGAGCGUUAUCCGGAUUUAUUGGGUUUAAAGGGUGCGCAGGCGGUCUGUUAAGUCAGCGGUCAAAGCCCGGGGCUCAACCCCGGCCCGCCGUUGAAACUGGCAGUCUCGAGUUGGAGAGAAGUAUGCGAAAUGCGCGGUGUAGCGGUGAAAUGCAUAGAUAUCGCGCAGAACUCCGAUUGCGAAGGCAGCAUGCCGGCUCCACACUGACGCUGAGGCACGAAAGCGUGGGUAUCGAACAGG
rnacentral:rRNA from 1 species